rnacentral:rRNA from 1 species
ACAUGCCUACAACAUAUCAUUAAUACAUCGAUUCCCAUUAGAACUCCACAGUUAAGCACGCUCAGUCUAGAGUAGUACUGGGAUGGGUGACCACUCGGGAAGUACUAGUAUUUUACAUGCC